UGGGGUGUAGCUCAGUGGAAGAGUGCUUGCCUGGUGUGCUCCAGAGGCCCUGGGUUCCAUCCCCAGCGCCACAC
rnacentral:tRNA from 1 species